rnacentral:rRNA from 1 species
GAACGCUGGCGGCGUGCUUAACACAUGCAAGUCGAACGGUAAGGCCCCUUCGGGGGUACACGAGUGGCGAACGGGUGAGUAACACGUGGGUGACCUGCCCUGUACUUCGGGAUAAGCCUGGGAAACUGGGUCUAAUACCGGAUAUGACCUUCCCCUGCAUGGGGGUUGGUGGAAAGCUUUUGCGGUACAGGAUGGGCCCGCGGCCUAUCAGCUUGUUGGUGGGGUAAUGGCCUACCAAGGCGACGACGGGUAGCCGGCCUGAGAGGGCGACCGGCCACACUGGGACUGAGACACGGCCCAGACUCCUACGGGAGGCAGCAGUGGGGAAUAUUGCACAAUGGGCGAAAGCCUGAUGCAGCGACGCCGCGUGAGGGAUGACGGCCUUCGGGUUGUAAACCUCUUUCAGUAGGGACGAAGCGCAAGUGACGGUACCUACAGAAGAAGCACCGGCCAACUACGUGCCAGCAGCCGCGGUAAUACGUAGGGUGCGAGCGUUGUCCGGAUUUACUGGGCGUAAAGAGCUCGUAGGC